GCCCGGAGCAGCAGGCACACGCGCCACUCCUGCCGCCUCGCGCCGGCCCCUAGUCCCCGGCCGCGGGCGGGGCCGGGUCUGCGGUGCUGAGCCCCAGCACGUACUGGGGCGUGGCCUGAAGCGCGGCGGGCGGGGUUUGGAGAAGUUUCUCCGGGUGGCUCACAUUUCACAUCGUCAUCAUGCAGGCACCAGGGCGCCAGGGACAGAAGUGGUGCCGGUCCCUUCCGCAUCCUUGCUGUUCUCCCCGCUGAGGGUCUGAUCACUGCCGCUCUCAGGCACCUGUCUUUCCUCUCCGUGCCGGAAUGGAGCCAAGACAAAGGAAUAAAAGAAAUUAAAUAGUACAAGGAGAUCGGGUGUCUGAGCAGCGUCUUGGAUAAUGCCGUCCACUACAGAACCCCUAAAGGAAAAAGACCUCAUCCUAAUAAUCUCUGGAUAGCACCUGCUACACAGGAAAAAAAUCAUAUGGAAUGAAGGUAUACACACAGAAAUCACACCUUGAAGAUUUUUCCUGUUUAGUUCUAAGCCGUGACCAUGAUGAAGUUUCUGGAAACGAUGACAAAAGAGAAGCUCUUCUGAAGCAAAUGUCUUGAUUUUCCACCUACACCAAUCCAUCCUAUCCAAUGUUACCAACUAAAAUUUCCACUAAC